rnacentral:rRNA from 1 species
GCCAUUAGUUGCCAUCAUUAAGUUGGGCACUCUAGUGGGACUGCCGGUGAUAAGCCGGAGGAAGGUGGGGAUGACGUCAAGUCAUCAUGGCCCUUACGGGCUGGGCUACACACGUGCUACAAUGGCGGUGACAGUGGGCAGCCACUCCGCGAGGAGGAGCUAAUCCCAAAAAGCCGUCUCAGUUCGGAUUGUUCUCUGCGACUCGAGAGCAUGAAGUCGGAAUCGCUAGUAAUCGUGGAUCAGCAUGCCACGGUGAAUACGUUCCCGGGCCUUGUACACACCG